rnacentral:rRNA from 1 species
CCUACGGGUGGCAGCAGUGAGGAAUAUUGGUCAAUGGACGCAAGCCUGAACCAGCCAAGUCGCGUGAGGGAAGACGGCCCUAUGGGUUGUAAACCUCUUUUGCCGGGGAGCAAGCCUAAGCACGUGUGCCCAGGCGGAAGGUACCCAGGGAAAAAGCAUCGGCUAACUCCGGGCAAGAGGCUGCGUUAAUACGGGGGAUGAGGGGUUUAUCCGAAUUGUUGGGGUUUAAAGGGGGGGAAGGGGGGCUGUUAGUUAGGCGUUAAAAAUUCAGGGAGCAAUCCUGUCGAGCCGUUGGAACUGGUAGGCUAGAGUGGGCGAGCAGUAUGCGGAAUGCGUGGUGUAGCGGUGAAAUGCAUAGAUAUCACGCAGAACGCCGAUUGCGAAGGCAGCAUACCGGCGCCCAACUGACGCUGAGGCACGAAAGCGUGGGGAUCGAACAGGAUUAGAUACCCCUGUAGUC